rnacentral:tRNA from 2 species
GCACCCGUAGCUCAGAUGGAUAGAGCGUUUGACUACGAAUCAAAAGGUCGGAGGUUCGAGUCCUCCCGGGUGCA